AGAGUUUGAUCAUGGCUCAGGAUGAACGCUAGCGGCAGGCUUAACACAUGCAAGUCGAGGGGUAACAGGGAGAAGCUUGCUUUUCUGCUGACGACCGGCGCACGGGUGCGUAACGCGUAUACAAUCUGCCUUAUACAGAGGGAUAGCCUUUAGAAAUGAAGAUUAAUACCUCAUAGUCUAUUAAUAUAGCAUUAUAUAAAUAGUAAAGCUUCGGUGGUAUAAGAUGAGUAUGCGUCCUAUUAGUUAGUUGGUGAGGUAACGGCUUACCAAGACGACGAUAGGUAGGGGCCCUGAGAGGGGGAUCCCCCACACUGGUACUGAGACACGGACCAGACUCCUACGGGAGGCAGCAGUGAGGAAUAUUGGACAAUGGAGGCAACUCUGAUCCAGCCAUGCCGCGUGCAGGAAGACGGCCCUAUGGGUUGUAAACUGCUUUUAUAUAGGAAGAAACC
rnacentral:rRNA from 1 species